UAUUCAACUACAAAAACAUUA
rnacentral:tRNA from 4 species